UGCCUUUGUGUUGCUCAUUCAUUUUUCUUCUAGAUGAAUGUAGUGUCAACUAAGGCGCACAGUAAAUUUUGCAAUAGCCAGUUUUGUGAGAGGACAUGCCUGUUGUUCUUCUUGCUAGUGCUAUGCCAAGAACAAAU